rnacentral:rRNA from 1 species
AUAAGGGGCUCCUAACUCUGUGCCAGCAGGAGCGGUAAUACAGAGGCCCCAAGCAUUAUCCGGAUUUACUGGGCGUAAAGGGUGCGUAGGCGGUUAUAUUAGUCAGGUGUUAAAUUCUGGGGCUCAACCCCAGGCUCGCAUUUGAAACGGUAUAACUAGAAGGUGUGAGAGGUAAGCAGAACUCAUGGUGUAGGGGUGAAAUCCGUUGAUAUCAUGGGGAAUACCAAAUGCGAAGGCAGCUUACUGGCACAUUCUUGACGCUGAGGCACGAAAGCGUGGGUAGCGAAGCGGAUUAGAUACCCGCGUAGUCCACGCCCUAAACGCUGUCUGUUGGCUAUAGGGAGUAUCGACCCUCUCUGUGGCGAAGCUAACGCGUUAAACAGACCGCCUGGGUAGUACGAUCGCAAGAUU